UUAUCUUCAUAAGUCAGAAGUUCACACUUAAGGGUGUAGUUCCAGUACAUGAAGAAGUAUAAGGGUAAUUUCUCCAUAGCUUUAAAGCUAAAAAAUAAAAAAGGAACAUCAUAGUUAGUAGUUUCUAUGAAAGGUGUGGUGUUGU
rnacentral:ncRNA from 1 species